rfam:Oceanobacillus picturae, S1, WGS project CCAX01000000 data, contig: 000004
UAUUAAGGAAGGCCGACUAAGAACGCCACGUCCUGUGGCAACGUCGGCAUGACCCGGAUCCUCCGGG